GUUGCUUAAUUGCUUCUCGGAAUGUAGUAGUGUUUUCCUUAUGAAAUCGAAUUUCGUAUGAAAAGAUACACAAUAUUGUGACUAAAAUACCUACUUAUUAAAAUUAGUAAACGUGUAAGCGGAGCAUAAUAGAUCAAAAUAUUAUCAGAACGAAAAUCAAAAGAAAUUUUGACAGUAAUUUCACAAAAACGGAUGAGUUUACUCAGAAAAUCCUAUUAUUCUACUAAAUA